AAGUCGUAACAAGGUUUCCGUAGGUGAACCUGCGGAAGGAUCAUUACCAAAUCCAAAUACCCCAAACCCCAUGUGAACUAUUGUAAUAGUCUGUCUUUGGGAGAAAAACGAAAAUAUAUAGAAUACAUUUAUGCUUUUCUAUAUACAGAAAUUUUUCUCCCAAUAGAAUCCGGUGCAACAUUUAUUUGUUGCGGCUAGAUUCGAAACCCUUUAAACCACUUGAUUUUUUUGUUGGAAUUUUUCUUUUAUUAAAUUAAAUAAAAGACAACUUUUAACGGUGGAUCUCUUGGCUCGU
rnacentral:misc_RNA from 1 species